GCAAUAUCCGAAUUUAUUUUCGGUGGAUGUGUAAGCAAGUAUUUGGGUCGAAACUUUUUUAAGGUGGGGAUAAUGUGAGGACUGAGAAUUUUGCUGUGUAGCUAAACUCUCUGUUGAUGAUAUUUUUGUGUGUAUUUUAAUUACAUAAUCACUCAUUAAGUUUCGGAAGAAAACGAGUUAGGAUGGAGAUUUUAUGCGAUAUUUA
rnacentral:lncRNA from 1 species